rnacentral:rRNA from 1 species
UAAUACAGAGACUGCAAGCGUUAUUCGGAUUCACUGGGCGUAAAGGGUGCGCAGGCCGCCGUGUGUGUGAGGUGUGAAAUCCCGGAGCUUAACUCCGGAACUGCGCCUCAAACUACACGGCUAGAGCAUUGGAGAGGGAAGUGGAAUUCACGGUGUAGCAGUGAAAUGCGUAGAUAUCGUGAGGAACACCAGAGGCGAAGGCGACUUCCUGGACAAUUGCUGACGCUCAGGCACGAAAGCGUGGGGAGCAAAAGGGAUUAGAUACCCCUGUAGUCCACGCCCUAAACGGUGCACACUAGGUUUUGGAGGAUUCGACCCCUUCAGGACCCAAGCUAACGCGUUAAGUGUGCCGCCUGAGGACUACGGCCGCAAGGCUA